rnacentral:rRNA from 1 species
CAUGGCAGACGGGUGAGUAACGCGUAGGGAAUCUACCUCUUUGUGGGGAAUAACGCUCCGAAAGGAGUGGCAAUACCGCAUGAGACCAGUGGGAUGAAACCUGGACAAGGAGAGGAUCCUGCGUCUGAUUAGCUAGUUGGCGGGGUAAUGGCCCACCAAGGCGACGAUCAGUAGCCGGCCUGAGAGGGUGAUCGGCCACACUGGAACUGAGACACGGUCCAGACUCCUACGGGAGGCAGCAGUGGGGAAUUUUGCGCAAUGGGCGAAAGCCUGACGCAGCAACGCCGCGUGGGUGAUGAAGGUCUUCGGACUGUAAAACCCUGUCGUCAGGGACGAAUGACGGUACCUGGAGAGGAAGCCCCGGCUAACUCUGUGCCAGCAGACGCGGUAAUACAGAGGGGGCAAGCGUUAUUCGGACUUAUUGGGCGUAAAGGGCGCGUAGGCG